rnacentral:rRNA from 1 species
AAGUUAAUAAGGGCGCACGGUGGAUGCCUUGGCAUUAAGAGCCGAAGAAGGACGUGACUAACGACGAUAUUCUAGGGGGAGCAGUAAGUACGCAUUGAUCCCUAGGUCUCCGAAUGGGGAAACCCACUAUGUUAUGCAUAGUAUCCGUAAGUGAAUACAUAGCUUACGCGAAGGUAACGCAGAGAACUGAAACAUCUAAGUACCUGCAGGAAGAGAAAGUAAAAACGAUUUCCUAAGUAGCGGCGAGCGAACGGGAAACAGGCCAAACCAAGAAGCUUGCUUCUUGGGGUUGUAGGACUGCAACGUGGACUUAAAGUCUAUAGAAGAAUUACCUGGGAAGGUAAGCCAAAGAGAGUAAUAGCCUCGUAUUUGAAAUAGACUUUAUACCUAGCAGUAUCCUGAGUAGGGCUGGACACGCGAAAUCCAGUUUGAAUCCGGGAGGACCAUCUCCCAAGCCUAAAUACUCCUUAAUGACCGAUAGUGAACCAGUACCGUGAGGGAAAGGUGAAAAGAACCCCGGGAGGGGAGUGAAAUAGCACCUGAAACCGUGUGCCUACAAGAAGUUCGAGCCCGUCAAUGGGUGAGAGCGUGCCUUUUGUAGAAUGAACCGGCGAGUUACGUUAUGAUGCGAGGUUAAGCUGAAGAGGCGGAGCCGUAGCGAAAGCGAGUCUGAAUAGGGCGCUUUAGUAUCAUGAUGUAGACCCGAAACCUAGUGACCUAUCCAUGAGCAGGUUGAAGGUGCGGUAAGACGCACUGGAGGACCGAACCAGGACACGUUGAAAAGUGUUUGGAUGACUUGUGGAUAGCGGAGAAAUUCCAAACGAACUGGGAGAUAGCUGGUUCUCUCCGAAAUAGCUUUAGGGCUAGCGUCGCAAUUUAAGUGUAUUGGAGGUAGAGCACUGUUUGGAUGAGGGGCCCAUCUCGGGUUACCAAUUUCAGAUAAACUCCGAAUGCUAAUACACAUGUGCGGCAGUCAGACUGCGAGUGCUAAGAUCCGUAGUCGAAAGGGAAACAGCCCAGACCACCAGCUAAGGUCCCAAAAUAUAUGUUAAGUGGAAAAGGAUGUGGGGUUGCACAGACAACUAGGAUGUUAGCUCAGAAGCAGCUAUCAUUCAAAGAGUGCGUAAUAGCUCACUAGUCGAGUGACCCUGCGCCGAAAAUGUACCGGGGCUAAACAUAUUACCGAAGCUGUGGAUUUAAUAUUAAUUAAAUGGUAGGAGAGCGUUGUAAUCAGCGAUGAAGGUAUACCGUGAGGGGUGCUGGAGCGAUUACAAGUGAGAAUGCCGGUAUGAGUAGCGCAAGAUAAGUGAGAAUCUUAUCCACCGUAAGACUAAGGUUUCCAGGGGAAGGCUCGUCCGCCCUGGGUUAGUCGGGACCUAAGGCGAGGCCGAAAGGCGUAGUCGAUGGACAACAGGUUGAUAUUCCUGUACUAGUAUUGUUAGUGAUGGAGGGACGCAGUAGGCUAAAGGGAGCCAGUUAAUGGAUUCUGGUCUAAGCAGUGAGGUGUGGAAUGUGUCAAAUGCAUUUUCCUUUAACAUUGAGCUGUGAUGGGGAAGCAACUACGGUUGCGAAGCCCUUGAUGUCACACUGCCAAGAAAAUCUUCUAGCGUUUAAUUCAAUACUACCCGUACCGCAAACCGACACAGGUAGUCGAGGCGAGUAGCCUCAGGUGAUCGAGAGAACUCUCGUUAAGGAACUCGGCAAAAUGACCCCGUAACUUCGGGAGAAGGGGUGCUGUAGAAAUACAGCCGCAGUGAAAAGAUCCAAGCAACUGUUUAUCAAAAACACAGCUCUCUGCUAAACCGCAAGGUGAUGUAUAGGGGGUGACGCCUGCCCGGUGCUGGAAGGUUAAGAGGAGGGGUUAGACAUUAGUCGAAGCUCUGAAUUGAAGCCCCAGUAAACGGCGGCCGUAACUAUAACGGUCCUAAGGUAGCGAAAUUCCUUGUCGGGUAAGUUCCGACCCGCACGAAAGGCGUAAUGAUUUGGAUACUGUCUCAACGAGAGACUCGGUGAAAUUUUAGUACCUGUGAAGAUGCAGGUUACCCGCGACAGGACGGAAAGACCCCAUGGAGCUUUACUGCAGAUUGAUAUUGAGUACCUGUGAAGCAUGUACAGGAUAGGUAGGAGACUUUGACCUUGGGACGCUAGUUUCAAGUGAGUCGCUGUUGGGAUACUACCCUUGCUUCAUGGUUGCUCUAACCCACACGCAUAAUCGGCGUGGGAGACAGUGUCUGUCGGGCAGUUUGACUGGGGCGGUCGCCUCCUAAAGAGUAACGGAGGCGCCCAAAGGUUCCCUCAACAUGGUUGGAAAUCAUGUGUAGAGUGUAAAGGUAUAAGGGAGCUUGACUGCGAGAGCUACAACUCGAGCAGGUAGGAAACUAGGGCUUAGUGAUCCGGUGGUACCGCAUGGAAGGGCCAUCGCUCAACGGAUAAAAGCUACCCUGGGGAUAACAGGCUUAUCUCCCCCAAGAGUUCACAUCGACGGGGAGGUUUGGCACCUCGAUGUCGGCUCGUCGCAUCCUGGGGCUGUAGUCGGUCCCAAGGGUUGGGCUGUUCGCCCAUUAAAGCGGCACGCGAGCUGGGUUCAGAACGUCGUGAGACAGUUCGGUCCCUAUCCGUCGCGGGCGUAGGAAAUUUGAGAGGAUCUGCCCUUAGUACGAGAGGACCGGGGUGGACUUACCGCUGGUGUACCAGUUGUUCCGCCAGGAGCACCGCUGGGUAGCUAUGUAGGGAAGGGAUAAGCGCUGAAAGCAUCUAAGUGCGAAGCCCACCUCAAGAUGAGAUUUCCCAUUCUUUAUGAAUUAAGAGCCCUGAGAGAUGAUCAGGUUGAUAGGCUGGAAGUGGAAGUCCUGCGAGGGAUGGAGCGGACCAGUACUAAUAGCUCGAGGACUUUACCAAGU